rnacentral:pre_miRNA from 1 species
GGACGUAUUACUGGGCAAAUUCGUUUUGGCAGAUGGUUUCUGAUCUGGUAAUUUACAUACAGUUCACAUCAUCAGCUCACUGCCAAAGGAGAUUUGCCCGGCAAUUCGGCC